GAACUAUGGAGCAAAAUGCUAAAGAGAAAAGGUGCAUUCAUCCUAACAGGGACAACUUUUACCCCGGAGUGGCCAGGGAGGUGCUGAUUUCAUUUGGCCAGCAAUAAUUAAUGGCAGGAAUUCCCAGCCAGUCCACCCUUGGACUUGAAGGCUUCUUUCAGAUAGCAGGCAGAAAACCUGGCUUUAAAAGAGCAGCUCAGACAGGAAGCACCAAUGUUCCAGGAGGAUUUCUGAGUCAAGCAACUGGCUUCUUGAAGUGUGAAUUUCAAAGAUCCCUAAAACUAUUGGCUGCACAGAUGGAGCAGAACUGAGGAACCAGCACCCCAGAGGACCUGCACAUCCCCUGUACUUGUACCUUGAGUCAUGGCUGAGCUGCACAAGCCUCUUUAGAGUGAGAAAUCUCCAUGCUGAGGUAAGCACUGAAACAGCUAAUUUGUGUCAACACCAAGUCCAGGCUGUC
rnacentral:lncRNA from 1 species